AUAUUGGUCAAUGGAGGCAACCCUGAUCCAGCCAUGCCGCGUGUGUGAAGAAGGUCUUCGGAUUGUAAAGCACUUUAAGUUGGGAGGAAGGGCUUUAGGCUAAUACCCUGAAGUUUUGACGUUACCAACAGAAUAAGCACCGGCUAACUCUGUGCCAGCAGCCGCGGUAAUACAGAGGGUGCAAGCGUUAAUCGGAAUUACUGGGGGUAAAGGGCGCGUAGGUGGUUUAAUAAGAUGGGUGGGGAAGCCCCGGGCUUAACCUGGGGACUGCUUUCAUAACUGCUGAGGUAGAGUACGGUAGAGGGUAGUGGAAUUUCCUGUGUAGCGGUGAAAUGGGUAGAUAUAGGAAGGAACACCAAUGGCGAAGGCGACUACCUGGACUGAUACUGACACUGAGGUGCGAAAGCGUGGGGGGCAAACAG
rnacentral:rRNA from 1 species